rnacentral:lncRNA from 1 species
UGGGCUGGUUUGGCUAUUCGGCUGGAAUCGGGUUUGUCGUAUUGGGUCAGAUUAGGUUUGGGCUUAAUUGGGUUUGGGUUAUAACCGGGUUUAGGACUGUAUUUUGGGUUAGAUUUUAUUGGGCUAAUGUUUCUGUAUUUUUGGACUUUUGGACUUUUAAUUUAUUUUUAAUUUUAAUUUUUUUUGUUUUUUGUAAGGGCCGGGCAAAUUGGGCCUAUUACACGCCUAAUUAAAAAGUUAAAAAAUUUUGGAGGUUCGAUAAUAAUUUACAAAAACAUGAAGAGUUUAAUUGAAUUUUCAUAAAUUUUUCAAAGGUUUAACGAGAAGACUAAUU